GCAGACGUCGGAGCAUGCUCUGUUCUCCAGUUCAGUAGUGGACAUCUUCACCCAGCUCAACCAGAGCUUUGAGAUCAUCAGGAAACUAGACUGUCCAGACCUCAAGGUCCAGGCCCACUACAACAGACGCUUCGCCAAGACCAUCACCAAGGUGCUGAUGCAGUACUGUGCUAUCCUGUCCAAGGAGUUCCCCUCCUACUGCCAGAAGGAGAAGAUACCCUGUGUGUUGAUGAAUAACAUACAGCAGAUGCGGGUCUUGUUGGAGAAGAUGUUUGAGUGCAUGGGGGCUAAACAGGUGAGAAUCAAUACUUUGAGACGUACAUUUCACAUCACAUAUUGUGCUGGGGUGGGUAACUC